GGUAGCGUGGCCGAGUGGUCUAAGGCUCUAGUUUUAGGCACCAGUUUUCGAGGCGUGGGUUCGAAUCCCACUGCUGCCA
rnacentral:tRNA from 1 species